GAUGUAAUCAGAAAAAUAUUAAAUGAAGAUAGUAAUUUCUAAAGCAGGAAAUAAACAACAGUUACAAGUCUGUUCUUAUUUUUCCAAUCUGUUAUAACUCCUCCCACCCAGUAACCGUAACUAAAUGUAUGAUUCAUUUGUUAAACAAAUACUGAGUUCCAGCUAUGUGUAAGGCAUUGUAGGGGCAGAAGAUACAGCAGUGAACAUAACAGGUAAAACCCUCCCCCUCUGCCAAAGGGCGGGACAGGGAGGAAAGGGAAGACGGAGACAGGUGGAAUAUGGAGUGUUCAGUGUUGAAAUAUCCAAGAGAAUUUCCUGGCAGAUUUGAUGUGAGGUGUGAUUAAAGAAGAACCAAGAAUGACUUUAGUGUUGUUGGCCUGAGCAACUGGAAGAAUAGAGUUGCCAUUUAUUGAGAUGAGAAGGCUGCCAGACGAGUAGAGUUGUUUUGUUUCAUUAUGGAGAUAGAUGGUUUCCAGCAGUUAGACCUAGAGAAGAGUAUACCUUCCAAAAAGACUACUCCUAAAAGGAUUAUCCAUUUUGUUGACGGAGACAUCAUGGAAGAAUAUAGCACAGAGGAGGAGGAGGAAGAGGAAAAAGAGGAGCAGAGCACAAAUUCAACACUUGACCCUUCUAAACUUUCCUGGGGGCCCUACGUACGAUUUUGGGCAGGACGAAUAGCGAGCACCUCAUUUUCUAUGCUGAGCCUGCAGGCCACCUUGCUACUGAAGGCACACAAGGAAGGCCUUAAACGAUUUCUGAGGAGUCUGUCUGGAUGCAUGGAAGAAUUCCUGAUGUGGGUCUUGGUAACACUGGAUUGAGUUUGGGUUUAACUUGAAAUGUACUUGGAGUGGAUGUUUAGCCAGUAUGCAUGGGGAUAAUGAGCAGUACCUGUUCUGAUUGCUCAGGACCCAUGCUAUACCUGUUGUUAAAGUAUACUGAAAAUCUCUCCUGAUAUAUACAUCUGGAAAAAAUAGUUUAUAUAUAAUCCCAUAUAAAGAUAGAAGAUUUGACAAAUUUCCUUUGAAUCCUAGAAUUUUUGAGAGGCCAAGGCAAUUGAAAUGUUUUGUCGGCCUUGAAGUUAAUAGUAAUAGUGAUCUAUUACUAUACUAUCGGAGUAGUUUAAACUCUGGGCAUCUCAACUGAUGCGAAGCUUUAGUUAGUAAUUCAGUUUAUGCAAGUGCUUGUUCUUUCUUUUAGCAUGUGAAUUCCUUGGUGGAAAAUUUGCUGUCUUCUUCGGUCUUACUCAACCCAAAUAUCAGUAUGUGUUAAACGAGUUCUAUAGGAUACAAAACAAGAAAAGUGACAACAAAAGUGAAGGGAAUGGAUCGAAGGCCCAGGCAGCUGAGGUUCCUAAUGAAAAGUGUCACUUGGAGUCUGGGGUCCGAGAGUAUGGAACCAUGCAACAGGACACGGCAGAGGCCAUUUCCCAGUGAAGCACCUCAUCCAGGGAGGGUCUGGUGGAACAUCCUAGCUCAUGAUGGCAGCAAAGACUAUAGUUUAUCUGGAUCUCUGUUCCUUGGCCAUUGAUUACCAUGGCAACAACACCAGAGGUAGCACUUCUGAGCCAGAUCUGAUCCUAAUCUCCGUGUGACUUAGUCUCAAGCAUCCAGGAAUUACAAGCAAUGAUGAGAGUGAUUUUGGACACUUUCUGAGAAUAAUUUUUAUAUGCAAGCCACCCCACCUCAACUCCGCCCCUGUGAUACAAGUCCCAUGAGUACUGACAUUUGCACAGUAGCAUAAAUGCCUUAAGGAACUUUGGGACUGGGAGUUUUUGGCUGAAAUCCUCUGUCAUGGGACAAGGGUACAGUAAAGAAGCUCUAUUCCUCAGAAGAAAAUGUGGGCACCACAAAGUCUAAAUAAAUCCCCUUUCACGGUUUGAUAUAGGUGUUUACUUCCAACAACCACCCUGGCUUAGUUGGGGAUUGUUUUACAGUAAGUAAACAUUGCUAAGAACUCUGUUAUAAGAUCAUUAUCAAGAUCUUUAAGAAUUAGGUACAUCCCUCCAAAUUAAAACAAUCGAUAAAUAAUAAAAGCUCUAGAAAAAAUAUUUUUAAUGGAUUAUUUUCUUAUUUAUUUGUCAAGAAAUUUUCAAAACCUGGAAAGAUCAAACAUGGAAAUCAUUGUUACAUAACACAGGGUGUGCUGGCCAAAGUAACUGUGAUACAUUAAUAGCAAAAACCAAACC